CAGUUUGGUAUUUGGUAGAUAUGUGGCCCACCCAUAAUGCAACGUAGCCGGUUCUAGGUCAACUUACGAGAUUAUUAGAUAAUGAUUAGAGAGGCAAACCGGUAUAAACAAAAUUUGAAAGAAAAUCAGUGAACGGGGGUUUUCUUAUAUAGCGAAUUUUUUCGAGAUUUUGAUACCCGGAUUAUUGUUGUGUAUUUUUUCAUUUAAUCAUAGUUGUAAAAUUGAUAUUCGGUUAAGAAAUUAAUUUGAGUAAUUUGUCAUUGGGUGAGGCGACAACACUGUACUUCUUCUUCAGCUUGCGAAUUUCCGAGAUACUGCGAGUGUUUACAUUAUCGUUUUGUUAAACAAUUCUAAAAUUCUUCUCUAAAACUGCAUUAUCAUUUGACUACAUGAUGAGAUGCUGCUUAGAGACGUUUUCAGAAUACGGUCAUGGCGGAUUUUAUGUCGGAACUUUAACGCCYAGAGGAAAAAGUGUUYAGUGCCCGUUUGUGAACCCAAURUGGCUGCAUUUUUCACAUUUCCUKACAAACUUUGUUAAAAGCUGUUAAAAUUUUGACUUUCUACCGGGUCCUCCMGAUAGUGGUGAAAACAAGUGRAAAUGUGCAGCUCAUCUUAAAGCUUAGUAUUCAGUAUUUGAUAGUAGAUGCACGAAUUUAACAUGGAAUGCUGUACCAACUUUAAAUCUGAAGCCAGAGCCGAGCAAAUCAAUCAUCUUUCAGAUAAUAUCCGGACAAGGGGAACACUGGUACAUCAUAGAAACAAACAUUUGUUGCAAAUAGUCCCGAAAGCAACAAAAUAUGGUUGUAACUGAUUAAUUGACUACGUAUUGAAUAAAAUAUUACAUAACA